rnacentral:rRNA from 1 species
UACGGAGGGUGCAAGCGUUAUCCGGAUUUAUUGGGCGUAAAGAGCUCGUAGGCGGUUUGUCACGUCGGAUGUGAAAGCCCGGGGCUUAACCCCGGGUCUGCAUUCGAUACGGGCAGACUAGAGUGUGGUAGGGGAGAUCGGAAUUCCUGGUGUAGCGGUGAAAUGCGCAGAUAUCAGGAAGAACACCCGUGGCUAAGGCGGCUCUCUAGUACGGUACUGACGCUGAGACGCGAAAGCGUGGGGAGCGAACAGG